rnacentral:sRNA from 1 species
CUCUAGCCCCGAUCGCAGUGGCAUCCUUUUUUUUAUAGCUGGCAGGUUUGAAAAAACCUGAUGGCUGUAAAAAAAAGAUAUAACGGAGAGCGGGACGAUGC